AACCCUAACCUCCUCCUGAUUCCUCUCUCUCUCUCCUCUCCCAGGCGUCGAUGCGGCUCGCGUAUCACUGGGCGCGCCUCCCCGCUCGCCGCCGCCGCUCCUCCACCUCUUCCAUGGCGUUCCUCCAACCCGAACCCCUCUAGCCCUCUCCUCAUUCCUCUCCUUCCUUUCGCUCUCUUUUCACCACCGCUGCCGCACUUAUCGCCGCCAUCGCUCCUCUGUCGCCUCCAGCAACGCAUCCGCAACGACGACGUCAAACUGUUCCGGCAUCUACCGAGCCCAGUCUUACGGAGUAACUCCUCAUGAUGCCCACUGAGCGAAUCCGAUCAGCUUCGUCAUCGAUGGCAGCAGAUCUAGGCUCGAGGGCAGCGGAUCCAGUUGGCUCCAUCCUCGAUGGCAGCAGAUCUGGGCUCAGGGGCAGCGGAUCCGGUUGGCCUACACCGGCUGCUCCGCGACGAGGCCUCCCAAGGCAAAAAAGCUCUAUGAAUUGGCUAUUCGUCUCGAAUUUGGAUUUCUUGAAGUUGCAACCUACCUGAUCUGCUUGUUGCUAAAGGACGGCAUUGAUGCCUUGGUUUAUUGGAGUUGCACUGGCCCUAGCUGAUCUGCGUAUUGCUAAACGAUGACAUUAAUGCCUGCUGCUCUACAUCACACGUUUCGCAUUGAAAAACUUAUUGUUGUAUUAGUAUAAACUAGAUAUUUUGGUGAAUUAUUUAGCUGUAUGCAUAAUUUGAUUCUGAACACAGUAGGAAACAUGAUUUUAGCUUGAGGCACAUGACACCUGCUUCAUGGCAUCAUGAUUUUUGAAUGCAUGUUUAGUUGAUUUAGAACACAAUAAGAAAUAAGUUUUUUUUUCAUUUCAUUUUAAAAUUAGGAUAUGGAGGUUAUGUUGUUGCUUCAUAAUUUGUUCUAUGUUUAUGUUGGUGCAUA